AAGUUCAAGGAAUCGGUAUAAUAGGUACUUAUCCUGAUCUAACAUAUUGAGGUUCUCAGAGCGUUGUUAUGGUAAUGAUUUUGUUUUGAUUUCACUCAAGUUUUAUAAAGUAAGCAACCUUUAUACUUAUUGGGUGUGUUAAAAUUUUUGUUAUGGCUCAGGAAAUUGAGGGGAAUAGAUAAUAGAAAAUUUUCACACUUAGGAACUUAACUUAAAAUAAAUAUAUAUUAUAAUAAUAAUUUUUUUUUUUUUUUCAUAAUAAGAAAGGGAAAUAACAAUGAAAGGGAAAAUAACAUACUUGAAAAAUGGUAAUAGGAAGAAUAUUGUUUCCCCCCCAUACUUAAACUAAACAUUGUCCUCAAUGUUUUAAGGGAAAGAAAUACAAAAUGGAAAUGCAAAGAAAAUAACAACUAAGGCUGCCUUCCGCCUCUGGUUCUUGGACCUGGUGAUCUUUGACGUAUGUCUAAGUUGUCGAACCUGCUGAACAAUUCAGUAAACCGC
rnacentral:lncRNA from 1 species